rnacentral:rRNA from 1 species
UGGGGAAUAUUGGACAAUGGGCGAAAGCCUGAUCCAGCCAUGCCGCGUGUGUGAAGAAGGUCUUCGGAUUGUAAAGCACUUUAAGUUGGGAGGAAGGGCAGUAAGCGAAUACCUUGCUGUUUUGACGUUACCGACAGAAUAAGCACCGGCCAACUCUGUGCCAGCAGCCGCGGUAAUACAGAGGGUGCAAGCGUUCAUCGGAAUUACUGGGCGUAAAGCGCGCGUAGGUGGUUCGUUAAGUUGAAUGUGAAAGCCCCGGGCUCAACCUGGGAACUGCAUCCAAAGCUGGCGAGCUAGAGUAGGGCAGAGGGUGGUGGAAUUUCCUGUGUAGCGGUGAAAUGCGUAGAUAUAGGAAGGAACACCAGUGGCGAAGGCGACCACCUGGGCUCAUACUGACACUGAGGUGCGAAAGAGUGGGGGGCAAACAGG